UACGUAGGGUGCAAGCGUUGUCCGGAAUUAUUGGGCGUAAAGAGCUCGUAGGCGGUCUGUCGCGUCUGCUGUGAAAACCUAGGGCUUAACUCUGGGCGUGCAGUGGGCACGGGCAGGCUAGAGUGCGGUAGGGGAGACGUGGAAUUCCUGGUGUAGCGGUGAAAAUGCGCAGAUAUCAGGAGGAACACCGGUGGCGAAGGCGGGUCUCUGGGCCGUAACUGACGCUGGAGGAGCGAAAGCAUGGGGAGCAAACAGG
rnacentral:rRNA from 1 species